ensembl:lncRNA
GUAAAAGCUGAUUCGUCGCGGAUUGAAAAGAGAAAAGACGUAAACAGCUUACCGCGGGAACUCACGUCAGCUUGUAUUUAUUUUACAUGCGAAAAGUGUUAUUACUGAUAAAUACAUGAAUCGACGCACCAAAGCUCUCAGAUGAACUCUCCAACUCUGAUGAAAUCUGCAAACAAAUAAAAUAAUCAAUUUUUUACUGUAAAAAAUAAGCCAUCAGCCUGUUGGAAUACUGCAUGCUCACCUGCGUCAAAGUUCUGCUUAUGGACACUUUUAGUUCUCCGGUUCAACACAGCAGAAGACCAUGAAACGGCUCAUUGAACCCAGCUGGAAGCUGUGCACUGAAAAAUUAUGAAAAAACAUUCAGGAUAACAUACCAAUGGCGUAAGUGGACUCAACGGCAGCUCAAGGCCUCAGAUUUGACUGGAAUCUGUUCCUGUGCAGCAAAAAAACAGGAUUAAAGAGUGAAGAGACAACUGAGCAGCAAGCUGAGAACAUCAUCCGUCUGGAAGCACAAGACAGUAAAUGUCGGAGGUUUACCUAUAACCAGGCCAUAAAGAGUCACGGCCGGGCCUCAAACAGCCUCACGUCUCUCUAGCAGACACUACAGGAAAGGACGGAGCCACGGCAGGCUGAGCCUCGCUGGAAAGAUGGAGGUUUCCUGUCCACGUGUCUGAG